GAAGGGACCUAGCGUAGUUCGGAAUUACUGGGCUUAAAGAGCUCGUAGGUGGUUAAUAAAGUUGGUGGUGAAAUCCCAAGGCUUAACUUGGAACUGCCACCAAAACUUUUUGACUAGAGUAUGAUAGAGGUAAGUGGAAUUUCUAGUGUAGAGGUGAAAUUCGUAGAUAUUAGAAAGAACACCAAUUGCGAAGGCAACUUUCUGGAUCAUUACUGACACUGAGGAGCGAAAGCAUGGGUAGCGAAGAGGAUUAGAUACCCUCGUAGUCCAUGCCGUAAACGAUGUGUGCUAGACGUUGGAAAUUUAUUUUUCAGUGUCGCAGCGAAAGCAUUAAGCACACCGCCUGGGGAGUACGACCGCAAGGUUAAAACUCAAAUGAAUUGACGGGGACCCGCACAAGCAGUGGAGCAUGUGGUUUAAUUCGAAGAUACGCGCAGAACCUUACCAACACUUGACAUGUUCGUCGCGAACUUAAGAGAUUAGGUUCAUCAGUUUGGCUGGACGAAACACAGGUGCUGCAUGGCUGUCGUCAGCUCGUGUCGUGAGAUGUUGGGUUAAGUCCCGCAACGAGCGCAACCCUUACUUUUAGUUGCCACCAUUUAGUUGAGCACUCUAAAAGAACUGCCAGUGAUAAGCUGGAGGAAGGCGGGGAUGACGUCAAGUCCUCAUGGCCCUUACGUGUUGGGCUACACACGUGCUACAAUGGCAUUUACAAUGAGAUGCAAAGAGGCGACUCCAAGCAAAUCUUAAAAAGAUGCCUCAGUUCGGAUUGUACUCUGCAACUCGAGUACAUGAAGCUGGAAUUGCUAGUAAUCGCGGAUCAGCGCGCCGCGGUGAAUACGUUCCCGGGUCUU
rnacentral:rRNA from 1 species